rnacentral:rRNA from 1 species
AAUGAACGCUGGCGGCAUGCCUAACACAUGCAAGUCGAACGAACACACGGGGUUCUUCCUCGCCUGGCGUUGUCACCGGACGGGUGAUUCACCCGUGGUUGACCUAACUAUAAGACUGGGCUGACUACAGCAGACUGGAUCUACUACCCGAUCAUAUAUUGAACCGCGUGGUUCAAUAGUGAAAGACGUUUUUGCUUUCACUAAUAGAUGUAUCCGCGCCGGAUUAGCUAGUUGGUAAGGUAACGGCUUACCAAGGCGACGAUGCGUAGCCGACCUGAGAGGGUGACCGGACACACGGGAACUGAGACACGGCCCAGACUCCUACGGGAGGCAGCAGUGGGGAAUCUUGCGCAAUGGGGGAAAGCCGGAUGGAGCAACGCCGCGGGAGGGAUGAAGGACUUCGGAUGGGAAAACGCUGUUGUUAGGGAAGAACAAAUGUGGAAGUAACCAGGAAGGUAAUGACGGUACCGGAAGAGUAAGCCACGGCUAACUACGUG